rnacentral:tRNA from 1 species
GCUUGGUUGGCUCAGCUGGUUAGAGCGCAGGUCUCAUAUCUUCAUAUGAGCCGCCCCUCGGCGGUGUAAUCCUGAGGUCGUGAGUUCGAUCCUCACACCGAGCA